UACAGAGGUCUCAAGCGUUGUUCGGAUUCAUUGGGCGUAAAGGGUGCGUAGGCGGCUCUGCACGUCCGUUGUGAAAUCGCCCGGCUCAACUGGGCGGGGUCAGCGGAUACGGCGGAGCUUGAGCAAGCUAGGGGGCAAUGGAAUUCCCGGUGUAGUGGUGGAAUGCGUAGAUAUCGGGAGGAACACCAGUGGCGAAGGCGGUUGCCUGGGGCUUUGCUGACGCUGAGGCGCGAAAGCGUGGGGAGCGAUCCGG
rnacentral:rRNA from 1 species